AGGGGCGUAGCUCAAUUGGUAGAGUAGCGGUCUCCAAAACCGCUGGUUGCAGGUUCGAGUCCUGUCGCCCCUGCCA
rnacentral:tRNA from 1 species